rnacentral:rRNA from 1 species
AGCGCAGGUGGUUGUAUAAGUCUGAAGUAAAAGGCAGUGGCUCAACCAUUGUGUGCUUUGGAAACUGUACAACUUGAGUGCAGAAGGGGAGAGUGGAACUCCAUGUGUAGCGGUGAAAUGCGUAGAUAUAUGGAAGAACACCAGUGGCGAAGGCGGCUGUCUGGUCUGCAACUGACGCUGAGGCUCGAAAGCAUGGGUAGCGAACA